rnacentral:rRNA from 1 species
UGAUCCUGCCGGAGGUUACUGCUAUCGAGGUUCGACUAAGCCAUGCGAGUCGAAUGUAGCAAUACACGGCGUACUGCUCAGUAACACGUGGACAACCUACCCUUGGGACGGGGAUAAACCCGGGAAACUGGGUAUAAUACCCGAUAGAUCUCGAAUGCUGGAAUGCAUCGAGGUCGAAAGCUCCGGCGCCCAAGGAUGGGUCUGCGGCCUAUCAGGUAGUAGUGGGUGUAGCGUACCUACUAGCCUACGACGGGUACGGGUUGUGAGAGCAAGAGCCCGGAGAUGGAUUCUGAGACACGAAUCCAGGCCCUACGGGGUGCAGCAGGCGCGAAAACUUUACAAUGCUGGAAACAGCGAUAAGGGGACCUCGAGUGCCAGGUUACAAAUCUGGCUGUCGUGAUGCCUAAAAAGCAUUGCAUAGCAAGGGCCGGGCAAGACCGGUGCCAGCCGCCGCGGUAACACCGGCGGCUCGAGUGGUAACCGUUAUUAUUGGGUCUAAAGGGUCUGUAGCCGGCCGGAUAAGUCUCUUGGGAAAUCUGGCAGCUUAACUGUCAGGCUUUCAGGGGAUACUGUCUGGCUCGAGGCCGGGAGAGGUGAGAGGUACUUCAGGGGUAGGGGUGAAAUCUUGUAAUCCUUGAAGGACCACCAGUGGCGAAGGCGUCUCACCAGAACGGACCUGACGGCAAGGGACGAAAGCUAGGGGCACGAACCGGAUUAGAUACCCGGGUAGUCCUAGCCGUAAACGAUACUCGCUAGGUGUCGGCCACGGUGCGACCGUGGUCGGUGCCGUAGGGAAGCCGUGAAGCGAGCCACCUGGGAAGUACGGCCGCAAGGCUGAAACUUAAAGGAA